UACGUAGGGUGCAAGCGUUUAUCCGGAAUUAUUGGGCGUAAAGAGCGUGUAGGCGGUUUGGUAGGUCCGCUGUGAAAACUCGAGCUCAACCUCGAGACGCCGGUGGAAACCAUCAGACUAGAGUCCGGAAGAGGAGAGUGGAAUUCCUGGUGUAGCGGUGAAAUGCGCAGAUAUCAGGAAGAACACCCGUGGCUAAGGCGGCUCUCUAGUACGGUACUGACGCUGAGACGCGAAAGCGUGGGGAGCGAACAGG
rnacentral:rRNA from 1 species